AUUUUCUCCUUUUUUUUUUUUUUUUUUUAGAUUUACAACUGUGGUUGCUCUCCUUAGAUGCUAUUGGAAUUCUCUGUAUCCUACUGGAAAUGCUGGAUCCCAAACUGCCCUGUAUCGUAGAAGGAUUACUUCAGUGUUCAGUGUUACCCUUCCGCUGAAAUAUCUCCCUUCUCUAUUAUGAGGUGUCAGUGUCUGCCAUGAAAGACCCUUGGCUUUAGGUCCACCCCUCUGGAAGGUUAAGGAGGAACAACAAUACCCAGCCCUUUGACCAAAACGAAGUAGCGAUACUGUAUACUUUUGAAAGCUUUCAUAUACGUCAUCUCAUUUGACUCUUACAAUUCAAUUAAAUUUAGCAAACAUUUAAGCCCCUACUAUGUGCCAGGCACUGUGUUAAGCACUGGAGACAUAAGGACCAAAACAAGCCAAUCCCUGCCUUCAAGAAAUGUACAUUUUUCCUGCUUCGAGUCAAACAAAUGAGACUCAGACUGCCAGCAGGACAUCUCUACAUGGCUGUCACAGUGACAUCUGCAAAGCAACAUUUCUUUAAAAAAAAAAAAAGAACUUUAGAAUUGGAAGGAACUUUCAGAUCACCUAAUUCUCCAUCCUUUUCCUUUUUAUAGAUGAGGAAGCAGAGUCCCAAAGAAGUAACAUGACAUUUCUUUCUUUUUAUGUUUAUUUAUUUUAUUAAGUUUUUAUUUUUAUU
rnacentral:lncRNA from 1 species